rnacentral:rRNA from 2 species
UGAGGAAUAUUGGUCAAUGGUCGAGAGACUGAACCAGCCAUGCCGCGUGAAGGUGACGGCCCUAUGGGUCUUAAACUUCUUUUGCAGGGGAGCAAUAAGGUCCACGUGUGGAUCGAUGAGAGUACCCUGCGAAUAAGCAUCGGCUAACUCCGUGCCAGCAGCCGCGGUAAUACGGGGGAUGCAAGCGUUAUCCGGAUUUAUUGGGUUUAAAGGGUGCGUAGGCGGUCUGGUAAGUCAGCGGUGAAAUUUUCGAGCUCAACUUGAAACGUGCCGUUGAUACUGUCGGACUAGAAUGCGGAUGCCGUGGGAGGAAUGUGUGGUGUAGCGGUGAAAUGCAUAGAUAUCACACAGAACACCGAUUGCGAAGGCAUCUCACGAAUCCGCAAUUGACGCUGAGGCACGAAAGCGUGGGGAUCAAACAGG